GACGAACCGAGCGAACGUUAUUCGGAAUCACUGGGCUUAAAGGGCGCGUAGGCGGGCGGCCAAGUCAGGGGUGAAAGCCCCCAGCUCAACUGGGGAAGUGCCUCUGAUACUGGUCAUCUCGAGGGAGAUAGGGGCGUGCGGAACUUCCGGUGGAGCGGUGAAAUGCGUAGAGAUCGGAAAGAACACCAACGGCGAAAGCACUCUGCUGGGCCGACACUGACACUGAGAGACGAAAGCUAGGGGAGCGAAUGGG
rnacentral:rRNA from 1 species